rnacentral:lncRNA from 1 species
AGUAAUUGAUUGGCCUGUGGGAAUAGUUCCCUGACUAGCUAGUUGGGAAAUUCAUUUUUAUUAAACCUUAUGCCUUGGGUCACAGUAAAGCCAGGGAUAAAUCAAGUGAUCUCUCUGGGUUUUUAGUCAUGUCUUACAGGUGAAACAAAAGUUAUAUUUCCUGGAGGAAAUAGUUCUGGAUAUGGAGUUAUAAGAUCUUAACCAGUGUGAUUCAGUGGAAAAAAAAAUUAAAUUCUGAUUCAAAGGACCCAGGCCUGAUUUAGGCUCCACUAAUUAAAACUAUGUGACCUGGAGGUCUUACAUAUAUAAUUUCUAAAAUGAUGUUGUGACCUCUAUACUCUCUUCAAGCUACAAAUUUUUGCUUUUAUAAUAUAUCCCAAAGCUUCACAUAUUAGAUGUAGAGUAGAAGUAUAAUUGAGAUGAUCAACAACAUUGACUAAGAGAACUUGCCUCCCAAGAGAUGGAUAGGAAAUGAGAGAAAAAAUCAACUUGUCAACUCUUUAUCCAAACUUCAGUGGUUGAGUUACCCACAUUAUUUGUGCUUCCUUGGACCUUUGGUGGCAGAGAGAUGGCUGGUGGCAGUGUGCUGGGCCUUUCAGCAUCUUGGCGUGGCUAUAGCUAUUUUCUGGUUUGGUGGUGAGUUUCUGGCUGAGUUUUCCUCCUUUAC